CAAUUCUGCUUGAAAAAGAUUCUUGCUUAUAGCAAAGUUUGGGCUUUCUCCCCAUGACUUGGAUCGUCUCUGGUAGAUCUUCUGCUGGGCUAAUCAGCGAACACAAGGACAAGUUGUAGUUCAUGAGGCUGGUCCCAUGUUGCCAGAUGAGGGGGGAGGUGCAGCUCAGUGGCUUCACGCCAAUCUCCUGACUGCGGUUCAGCUCCCGCACGGCGCUCACCACCACGUGAACAGCAUCAAACAUCAGGGCAGAUGACAGCUAGGCAUGAGAUAAAUGAAUAAGUUCAGGCUCCUGAUGAAAUCCAGGUAGAAAGGAUGGGAAAUGUUCAACAUGGAGAAACCAACGAUGUUGGACUGGUCACCCACAACAUCAUCUAGCUGGAGCAGAGGGAAAU